rnacentral:rRNA from 1 species
CGGAGCUAACGCGUUAAGUCGACCGCCUGGGGAGUACGGCCGCAAGGUUAAAACUCAAAUGAAUUGACGGGGGCCCGCACAAGCGGUGGAGCAUGUGGUUUAAUUCGAUGCAACGCGAAGAACCUUACCUGGUCUUGACAUCCACAGAACUUUCCAGAGAUGGAUUGGUGCCUUCGGGAACUGUGAGACAGGUGCUGCAUGGCUGUCGUCAGCUCGUGUUGUGAAAUGUUGGGUUAAGUCCCGCAACGAGCGCAACCCUUAUCCUUUGUUGCCAGCGGUCCGGCCGGGAACUCAAAGGAGACUGCCAGUGAUAAACUGGAGGAAGGUGGGGAUGACGUCAAGUCAUCAUGGCCCUUACGACCAGGGCUACACACGUGCUACAAUGGCGCAUACAAAGAGAAGCGACCUCGCGAGAGCAAGCGGACCUCAUAAAGUGCGUCGUAGUCCGGAUUGGAGUCUGCAACUCGACUCCAUGAAGUCGGAAUCGCUAGUAAUCGUGGAUCAGAAUGCCACGGUGAAUACGUUCCCGGGCCUUGUACACACCGCCCGUCACACCAUGGGAGUGGGUUGCAAAAGAAGUAGGUAGCUUAACCUUCGGGAGGGCGCUUACCACUUUGUGAUUCAUGACUGGGGUGAAGUCGUAACAAGGUAACCGUAGGGGAACCUGCGGUUGGAUCACCUCCUUA